GGAAUCUGGAGACAGGUGCUGCAUGGCUGCCGUCAGCUCGUGUCGUGAGAUGUUGGGUUUAAGGUCCCGCAACGAGCGCAACCCUUGCCUUUAGUUGCCAGCAGUUCGGCUGGGCACUCUAAAGGGACUGCCGGUGUUAAACCGGAGGAAGGUGGGGAUGACGUCAAGUCCUCAUGGCCUUUAUGACCAGGGCUACACACGUACUACAAUGGCCGAUACAAAGGGCAGCGACACUGCGAGGUGAAGCCAAUCCCGUAAAAUCGGUCUCAGUCCGGAUUGGAGUCUGCAACUCGACUCCAUGAAGUUGGAAUCGCUAGUAAUCGUGGAUCAGCAUGCCACGGUGAAUACGUUCCCGGGCCUU
rnacentral:rRNA from 1 species